UACGAAGGGUGCAAGCGUUGUUCGGAAUUACUGGGCGUAAAGCGCGCGUAGGCGGGUCUGUAAGUCGAUUGUGAAAGCCCUGGGCUUAACCUGGGAACUGCAGUCGAAACUACAGAUCUUGAAUGUCUGAGAGGAUGGCGGAAUUCCCGGUGUAGUAGUGAAAUACGUAGAUAUCGGGAAGAACACCUGAGGCGAAGGCGGCUAUCUGGCGGUACAUUGACGCUGAGGCGCGAAAGCGUGGGGAGCAAACAGG
rnacentral:rRNA from 1 species